rnacentral:lncRNA from 1 species
CUUUUGCACACACACCGAAACAAACAAACAAACAAAAAAUCAAAACACAAAGAGUCCAAUUAAGACUAAAAAUAUCAAAACAAAAUGUACACACCCAAAAACAUUGCGUCUGUUUCUUGCCGGCUAACACUCCUGUGCCUGGGAUCUGCCCUGAAGUGUGGUAAUACAGUUCUACCGGUAUCUGCUGUUGCCUUCUUGUUAGAACCGUGAGUACUUGUUCCAGCGGACUCAGAUCCCUGUGUAAAAUCUGCUCCCCAGUGUUCGCAAUCCACACCUCAGCUGUUCCCUCUCUAGACAUGCUUUAUUUUUGACUCAUUUGUUUGUUUGUUGGCUGGCUUCCACUUCUUCCUUACUUGGCCAAAGAUUCUAAGGGCACUUAUGUGACUACCCGAGGGAUUUUAGACCUCCAGGUCCUAGGCAAUGCUUCUUUCACAAAGAUGGAAAUCCUUACGGCAUGCAGGACAAUUGUAAGCCAUCCCGAGAUGCCUGUUAGUGCUGCCUGAAGAACACUGUUCUGAGAUUUGUCAAAGAAAGAGCAAGAAAACUGGAAGACAAACAAGCGUUAUACACAAGCAAAGCGUGGCUGUCUGGUUUUCGAUUUCUUGGGUCAUAGCCAAGAUAUCUCUGGCCGAAGCAACACUCCCUCCUCCUGUGGCUGGCAAAGAACAAGGUCCCUGGCACCUCUGAUCCGAAGCCACCGCGGAAAGGCGGGGCGCCAUGUCGAGCAGCUACUGGUCCAAUUUACCGUCGCUCGGCAAUGCUCAGUUGGCAAUCUGAGAGGUCAAACUGCCCGUGCAGGAGGCUCGUUCCCAUCUAGAUCUAUGAUUGGCUGAGAUUGAGGGACGGCAUGGAGCCUUGCAGAGCAUCAACUGGUCGGAGUUGCCGUCAAUCAUCUAGAGCAGACUCCACCCGGUCUCCAUUUGGCCAGCAGCUGAAAAAAAUUUCGAGCAUUUACGGAGAGGAGAUUGUGGCUUCUCUAAUUGCUCGCUCUAGAGAUCGGAAUCUACAAGAGAAGUUGUUGACGAGUAUCUAUUGGCGGCCCUCGGAAUGGAGCACUAAGGGAGGAUCCAGGAAGGCGGAGAAAUAUGGAAUGGGUCCCCGCAGCUUCCUCCAUCUGAGGCCGAGCCCCACGCGCAUCUCUCCGAGCUAGUGUGCGAAGUGGAGAGCAGCUGCUCCCGCCGAGGCCCACGGCGGCUGCGCCCCGGCAUCCGCUCCGCAGACGCACCCGAGGUCGGCCUUGAACUUGACCUCAGACUGGAAGUGAGCGCCGCGGGAGCGGGGCUGGUAGGAUGGGCAGGGUCGAUGGGAGGAACAGAAAAAGAGGGCAAAACCAAAGCCACCCUGGAUUUCCUGCAGCGAACCCCCCUUACCCCCCCCCGCGCGCCCCAGGUGCGCGCCAGCCGGAAAGCGCCGGUUUAGCCCCUACGGGACCGGUUUCCCGGCCUGAAGACCCGCGGGUGUCCGGAGAUCUGCUGGGGUACGCUGGCCUGAGAGUGUUUGCCCUGUCGUGUACGAUUUUAGGUCAAGGCCAGCAAACCAGCUCAGGACCCUGUCCAGCCGGGCUCCUAAGGCGAUGGGUGUAGAGAAGGAUUGCAGAGCCCUAGUGAUUUGGAUCUGAGGGCUUGUGUUUUGCUUUGCUAGGAAAGCACUGUAUCUUAAGGCCACGUGGCUCGUGGUGUCUGUUUCUGCAGCCGCUUUCUGUAGAUGAGAGAAUUCACCCGGAGGAAACAAAGAUGAGGCUAUGGAUAGAAACAGCUAGGAAAUUUCGAGUCUCAAAAGCUCCGCUGAUGUUUUCGUUCUAGGAGUUGGAGGAAUAGUAACAGCGAAGCCUACUAUCCCCACCCCAAGUGCCUCAGGUGGGGAGAGGAGAUGUGGCCUCUGUGGGACCUGUACCCCGGGAGAAAACGAUUGGGGCAGCCAGAGAUCUGCAAGGCUGCAGCGGAAGGGAAGGUGUUGCCCUGAUAGAGUGUGUUGUAGCUUGUAGAAAUUGGAAACCAGAUCACCGCUGUAUGACAAAUGUCAUUAAAUACGGAAGCUUUGGAUAAUGAGUUCUUGUUAAUAACUGUUUUUCUUGCAGUCCGAGUCUCUAUUUCCUUGACAACAUCAGCACCCCUUCCACAGAAUUGAGUAAUAAGUACUUUCCAUUACGACUCUCAGUUCACAUGUCUAAACAAAUGCUCACAUAUACCCGAAGCUCACUGACGGUUUGUUUUCUUUCCUCCUUCCUGUAAACUAAUAAAUACAUUUUCUUUCCUCCUUUACCUAAAAGG